rnacentral:rRNA from 1 species
UACGAAGGGGGCUAGCGUUGCUCGGAAUCACUGGGCGUAAAGCGCACGUAGGCGGAUCGCUAAGUCAGGGGUGAAAUCCUGGAGCUCAACUCCAGAACUGCCUUUGAUACUGGCAAUCUCGAGUCCGGGAGAGGUGAGUGGAACUGCGAGUGUAGAGGUGAAAUUCGUAGAUAUUCGCAAGAACACCAGUGGCGAAGGCGGCUCACUGGCCCGGUACUGACGCUGAGGUGCGAAAGCGUGGGGAGCGAACAGG